UUGAUUACGUCCCUGCCCUUUGUACACACCGCCCGUCGCUGCCCGGGACUGAGCCAUUUCGAGAAAUUUGGGGACCGUUGAUUUAAUUUAUCUAAAUUAUUUUGAUGGAAACCAAUUUAAUCGCAGUGGCUUGAACCGGGCAAAAGUCGUAACAAGGUAGCUGUAGGUGAACCUGCUGCUGGAUCAUUACUUUAUGUGAUGUUCAAUUUUGAAUCGCAAUGAAAUAAUUGUUGUGUAACGGCUGUCGCUGGUGUCUAGGUGUUGCUGAUACAGUUGUGAACGUCCGUGGCUGUAUAUGUGGUGACAUGUUAGGACUAUAAUGAGUUUAAGACUUAAUGAGCCUCUUAAGUGAGGACGCCAGCACUCUUUUUUUAUAUUUAAAAAAAAACAAAAUUCCUAGCCUUUCCGGUGGAUCACUAGGCUCGUGGAUCGAUGAAGAACGCAGCAAACUGCGAUAAGUUUUGCGAACUGCAGCAGCCUUGAGCAUAAAAGUUUUGAACGCAUAUUGCCGCAUAGGGGUCAAACCCUUUGCUAUGUCUGGUUCAGGGUCAUUAUCUUUCAAAGCGAAAGCUUUAUUGUAUAAUUGCUUUUGUGGCUUCUUUAUGUUUUAAAUUGAUUGUUAGAUAUGUUUAAUUGUUCGCAUGUAUCAUCAACAAUAUUGAUUUUUUGACCUGAACUCAGUCGAGAGCACCCGCUGAACUUAAGCAUAUCAGUAAGCGGAGGAAAAGAAACUAAACAGGAUUCCCUUAGUAACGGCGAGUGAA
rnacentral:rRNA from 1 species